GCCUUCGUGGUGUAGCGCUCAGCACGCUCGGCACGUAUUCGAGAGGUCCGUGGUUCGAGUCCCGGCAAGGGCG
rfam:Stegodyphus mimosarum contig87268, whole genome shotgun sequence.